UUAUAAAGAAGAUUGAUAAAAGAUUGUCGCGAAUGAACAUUCUCGCAGCAACCGAGCUGAGUUAAAGUGCUUUGAGUCUCGUUUCGACUACAGUGAAAAUUUAUAUUCGACUGCAUUAAUUGAAAAUUUAUAAAGCAGAGAAAAUAUCGGAGAAAAGUGUCCAUGGUGUCUACUGAGAAGGGAAUAACUGUGACCGUCAUGCAAAUACGAGUAAGGUGCUAAUAGCUUCGGUAAACUCGCGGAUUCCUUAAUCAAGGUGACGAAGAGAAAAACUUAAAGCAAGAAGAAUCGGGUCGCAACCAUGAAAUCCGCGAUCGCGCUGCAACAAUUCAAAAAAUGCAUCAUCUUAUUUAUAGUAGGCAUCGGAUGUAGCACCUUGAUGUAUAUGAUUUACGUCUUCGAUCCCACUACUAUGAUAGUGGAAUAUGUAAGUAUAUGGGAGAAUC
rnacentral:lncRNA from 13 species